UGGGGAAUUUUGGACAAUGGGCGCAAGCCUGAUCCAGCAAUGCCGCGUGCAGGAUGAAGGCCUUCGGGUUGUAAACUGCUUUUGUACGGAACGAAACGGUCUGCCCUAAUACGGUGGGCUAAUGACGGUACCGUAAGAAUAAGCACCGGCUAACUACGUGCCAGCAGCCGCGGUAAUACGUAGGGUGCGAGCGUUAAUCGGAAUUACUGGGCGUAAAGCGUGCGCAGGCGGGUAUGUAAGACAGAUGUGAAAUCCCCGGGCUCAACCUGGGACCUGCAUUUGUGACUGCAUAGCUAGAGUACGGUAGAGGGGGAUGGAAUUCCGCGUGUAGCAGUGAAAUGCGUAGAUAUGCGGAGGAACACCGAUGGCGAAGGCAAUCCCCUGGACCUGUACUGACGCUCAUGCACGAAAGCGUGGGGAGCAAACA
rnacentral:rRNA from 1 species